rnacentral:tRNA from 1 species
GGAGAGAUGGCCGAGUAGGCUGAAGGCGCUCGCCUGCUAAGCGAGUGUACUCUGUAAAGGGGUACCGAGGGUUCGAAUCCCUCUCUCUCCG